UCGUGUGUAAAGAAACAAUACUCUCUUCUCCUUCGCUUGUCGGCCUGGCUGCUGGGUGCCGCCGUCGAUCUGCCGACGGGAAGCUCCAGCGCCACAACCGCCGAUCUCCCGGAGGGAAGCUCCGGCACCACCGUCCGCCUUGCCCCCUCCCGCUGGCAUGUACACUCCAUUAACUCGCCCCCUUGGACUUGCUCCCGAUCCAAGAUCCCACGGCGCCGCCCUCCUCACUGGACAAGGCGGCGGAGAUUGUCGUGCAUCGCGGCUGCUCCCGGCGCCGAAGCACCUCUGUCCGCCGCCAGGGCCGCGUGCGCGCCCGUACCUCCGCUCGGCGGCGGCACACAACGACGCGGUGGCUAGAGCGGUGGUGCUGGCCCUCCUGUCGGCGGCGGUGACGGUGGGCUGACGCGAAAGAACAAGCGCGUAGCCGGCGACGUCGAAAAGGGCGCGCCGAGAAGCUGGGGCAGGUGCGGCAACCGAACGUGGUGGACAAGGAGGAGCGUAAUGAAUUUUCUAUUGGGCUGAAUGAGACAUCAAAUAGUGUCUGAACAAACUGAUGACCAGUAGCAACAAAAUCUUAGUAAUACAUGCUCACUUCUAUCAGCUCUAUCUCUGUUUUCUUUUGUUAUUACUUUGGAACCUGCAUCAUACUGCAGCGUAAUGAACCUCCAGAAAGGCAGUGCAAGUAUUUUAUCUCAGGGGUUUUGCACAGUUAUUCUCGUCGCCUUUUAUGUUUUGCACAAGAUGGAUGGCAUGUGAUGUGAAUCCAUGCAAGUAACAACAGUGAAAUCCUUUUCUUUCAUGAAAUCCUUUUCCAGGAACUAGCAAAGAAACUUUCCUGGACACCGUAGCGGAGAUCAUGGACCGCCACCUUGAUGAAAUGUUGUCAAAGCUCCACCUUGUCAAUUCGAUCGUAUCGACUUGUAAAUAUUAGUUUCCUUAUUAGUUUUCACUAAAUAAGAAGAAUGUUGUCGUUUGGACUUUGAAGACAUUGGAUAAAUUUCACAUGAACUGUUGCUGUGAAUUUGAUGUGACAAGAAAAGCUUAAGUAGAAUAGCUGAUCCAUUUGAUUGUAUCCACUUGUAUAUAUUAGUUGUCACUUCAUGAUGAUAGAAAUGGGGAUGUUUGAACUUUGAA